rnacentral:lncRNA from 1 species
AUGGUUGGGUGGAACAAAGACACGUCCAUUUUUAAUCAAUAAGAGAGCCCACCAAACUUUUGGAACCUCAAAGAAUCAUCCAAAAGCUGCCCACUCCUGAUUUGCCCAGAUGAUCUGGGGCAGAGGAUAUUAACAAAUGAAUAUUUAGUGAGCCGAAAACAAACUCACAUGAAAAAUUAAGGAUGAAAUUAGUGAAAAGCGCAGAGAUAGAAACUAUUUGAUUGGGCUUCAGAAAACUUCCAGCAGGAACAGAGGUGUUUCAUCUGUAAAGGUGCUGCCCAAGACUUGUGCCGAGAUCUGGCCGGAUCAUUUGCUAUGGGAGGGCACCGACAGAGAGGAGCAGAGGAGACAAGAAGAGGAAGAGAGGGAGAGGGAAUGAAUAUUUGAUGGAACAUCCUGGGAUAGAUGAAAAAGAGCUGAACAACUAGAUAAGGUCUUAAAUUUAUGUCUUCUUUUGGCUUAAGAAAUGUCAAAAUCGAAAUGUUUUAUUUUGUGACCACUGUUUUCAAAAUGUAAUUCCAAAAUAAACUCUUAAGAAGCCUAAAUAUUUUGAAUAAAAUGAAGUUCAUGUACCUCUAAUUUAAAUGCAAAACAAUAUAAUAUUACUUGAAGGAGAAAAAUGACAUACUGGAUGAUAUUAA